UGGGGAAUAUUGGACAAUGGGCGAAAGCCUGAUCCAGCCAUGCCGCGUGUGUGAAGAAGGUCUUCGGAUUGUAAAGCACUUUAAGUUGGGCGGAAGGGCAGUAAGCGAAUACCUUGCUGUUUUGACGUUACCGACAGAAUAAGCACCGGCUAACUCUGUGCCAGCAGCCGCGGUAAUACAGAGGGUGCAAGCGUUAAUCGGAAUUACUGGGCGUACAGCGCUCGUAGGUGGUUCGUUAAGUUGAAUGUGAAAGCCCCGGGCUCAACCUGGGAACUGGAUCCAAAACUGGCGAGCUAGAGUAGGGCAGAGGGUGGUGGGAUUUCCUGUGGAGCGGUGAAAUGCGUAGAUAUAGGAAGGAACACCAGUGGCGAAGGCGACCACCAGGGCUCAUACUGAAACUGAGGUGCGAAAGCGUGGGGAGCAAACAGG
rnacentral:rRNA from 1 species